rnacentral:rRNA from 1 species
CCACCGCGGUCAUACAAGAGACCCAAAUCAACUGUCCUACAAGCGGCGUAAAGAGUGGUAAGAUGCCUAUCCUACCUAACUAAGAUCAAAAUGCAACUAAGCUGUCGCAAGCACAAGAUGCACCUAAACACACCAAUCAAGAUGAUCUUAGAACUAGCGAUUAAUUUUAACCCACGAAAGCCAGGGCCCAAACUGGGAUUAGAUACCCCACUAUGCCUGGCCCUAAAUCUUGAUACAUUACCCUACCGAAGUAUCCGCCAGAGAACUACGAGCACAAACGCUUAAAACUCUAAGGACUUGGCGGUGCCCUAAACCCACCUAGAGGAGCCUGUUCUGUAAUCGAUGAUCCACGAUCAACCCAACCGCCCCUUGCCAAGCACAGCCUACAUACCGCCGUCGCCAGCCCACCUCGAAUGAGAGCGCAACAGUGGCGCAACAGCACCCCGCUAAUAAGACAGGUCAAGGUAUAGCCUAUGGGACGGAAGAAAUGGGCUACAUUCCCUAUGCAUAGGGCAACACGGAAAGAAGUAUGAAACUG